GGUCAGUCACUUUAAUAUACAUUAAAAAAAAAACUAAAAAAAAUGUGUUGGUUAGGCUGGGCAGUAGCACUAUCAUUACUCUCAUACAUGUUUGUGCCACCUCCUAAACAUUAAAACUAAAAGGAGGAAAGGACAAAGACAGCUUAAAAGGAUACAAAAUUUUGAAACUAAAAGUAAGAUGGAACUGACACAGAAGAUCGCCUUCUAAGAACCUGUAUAUAUUCUCAAUGACGAGCACCUCAAGUUUUAAUAAAAGUUUUAAUAUGAUUGGAUAAAGAGAUUGUACUUUUUACUUAUUUAUAACCUUUUAAACCUGUACUAACACACACUACAUGUAUGUUAACGUCAUAUAAAAUAUAGGUGUAAUCUAUCUAUCUAUCUAUAUAAAUAAAAUAAA
rnacentral:misc_RNA from 1 species